GAGUUUGAUCGUGGCUCAGAUUGAACGCUGGCGGCAUGCCUUACACAUGCAAGUCGAACGGCAGCAUGAUCUAGCUUGCUAGAUUGAUGGCGAGUGGCGAACGGGUGAGUAAUACAUCGGAACGUGCCCUGGUAGUGGGGAUAACUAGUCGAAAGAUUAGCUAAUACCGCAUACGACCUGAGGGUGAAAGUGGGGGACCGCAAGGCCUCAUGCUAUAGGAGCGGCCGAUGUCUGAUUAGCUA
rnacentral:rRNA from 1 species